GCCGCCGGUGCCUCGUAAAAGAGGAGAAUAGGGAAUUCGGUGAGGAUCCGAAGCAGCCCCCACUACUGUAACCCGGUACGAAAUCCAAAAUGGUCAUUGAUACGAUUCUUCCGGUUCUUUUCGAAAAGAAUCGGCGGACGUAUUGAGAAGGCGUGGAGAGUAGGCAAGACGGGUAAGCCAGGAGACCUGCCGGUGAGUUUU
rnacentral:ncRNA from 1 species